GAGCACGUAGGUGGGUUUGUAAGUCAGAUGUGAAAGCCUCCUGUUCAACGGGAGAAUUGCAUCUAAAACUACUGAUCUUGAGUGUAGGAGGGGAGAAUGGAACUUCUGGUGGAGCGGUGAAAUGCGUAGAUAUCAGAAGGAACGCCGGCGGCGAAAGCGAUUCUCUGGCCUAUUACUGACACUCAGUGUGCGAAAGCUAGGGGAGCAAACGGGAUUAGAUACCCCGGUAGUCCUAGCCGUAAACGAUGGGCACUAAGUAGAGGGGUUUU
rnacentral:rRNA from 1 species